rnacentral:rRNA from 1 species
AGAACGAACGCUGGCGGCGCGCCUAAUACAUGCAAGUCGAGCGAGAAGACGUAGCAAUACGUUUGUAAAGCGGCGAACGGGUGAGGAAUACAUGGGUAACCUACCCUAGAGUGGGGAAUAACUAGCCGAAAGGUUAGCUAAUACCGCGUACGCUCCUUGGACUUCGGUACAGGGAGGAAAGCGAUACCGUGGGUAUCGCGCUCUUGGAUGGGCUCAUGUCCUAUCAGCUUGUUGGUGAGGUAACGGCUCACCAAGGCUU